UGGCUCAGUGGUAGAGUGCUUGCUUGGCAUGCAUGAGGCCCUGAGUUUGAUUCCUCAG
rnacentral:tRNA from 1 species